GAAAAACGAGGGUUCUCACCCCCCACCCCCUCUCCCUAUCCUCUAGGGUUCAUUGCUCUGGGCAGUUAGUUUCUUUUCCAAAACCUUUGGGUGUGGAUGUGGAGGGAGGGGGGCGGUGCGGCUCGCUAGGGGCCGCCCCACGUGGCACACAGUGGGCACCCGCAAGGUCCGGCCGGGCGGGGAGGAGCGAGAACUGCAGGAGCGGUUCUCCCUGCACCCCCACCCCCACCCCCACCCCCACCCCCACCCCCUGGUUUCCUUUUUCCAGUUUGCUUUAUUCAGCCUGGAUGAGCUCCUCUUACCGAGGAAGAUGAAUGCCUGGACGAGUACCUGGAGAUGGUCAACAGCGGCGCCAAGAACCAAAACCUUUCACCUAUUUUAUUUGAUCCAGCAACAAUGAAAUAAAAGUGCUGAAGUCCAUCUUGUACAUCUAACGAAACACAACAUGCAAGCAAAUACAAGAAGACUGAUUCAAUGUGAAGAUAUAAUUUUUUUCCAGCUAAUUUUGAAAAAAGAAAUCACGUGGAGUUAAGACCUUCAACACAUCUUUGAAACUAUGUGGAGGAAAGUGUAACCAUAACCUUGGAUAAGUAUGGUAUUGAUGCAUUAAUACUUCUUUCAUAUCACAGUGCCUAGAACAUGAUCAAACAUUAAAAAAAAAAAAUCAAGCCCAUCUGAACUAGUUUUAUUUUCCUUAACUCUCAAAGAUUGCCAUGGCAGAAACUUGGAAGUAGGGAAGUGAAACAUCGUUUUCCUGGUGGAGCAGGAAAAAGAAUCUUGAAAGUCCUGAAUUCAAAUCCAGUGCUUCUCUUGAGUUGGAAGAAAAAUGAUUGCACCAUAUCCACAUGGCAGGGAGUAUGUACACAGGCAAGCCUUUCCCAAGCUCUUGUUGGCAUUGGCAAAAGACGCUCCUGUCCUGUGCAGGAAACUUAGAGUCCACCUGACAACGUCUUCGGUCUGGGAAGUUCAGAAAGAAUGCAGUGAAAAAUGAGUUUUCUUUUUUGUGACCAAAUCAUUUAAAAAGCGUUGAGUUCUCCUCAUGUAGAACAGUUCUAGAAUCUUAGACUAUUCUGCUCUCUCAUACCGGGGGGAGUUUUCUAGACUCCCUAGAGUUUUUUCAAAGCAAAAAGUUCUAAACUAUACAGAGGGAGCUGAUCUGAUGAUUAUUCAAAGCCCAUUAUUUCAUUUCAUUCCAUCUGACAAAACCCUGCUGCUGGAUAUUGUGGAGGACAUGCCUAGUCUCCACCAGUAUCUGAUGUUCUAACCCUAUUGGGCAUGUUCAGGGCCCUUAGUAUUGGGUGGGGCCCCAUCUCUGGUCUCUAUCUUCCUCUUCUCUUGACAUGGUGAGGACAAAUAGUAAAGCUGGUUGGGCUUUUGAAUGGCCAUAUAAGCAGCAGUGGUCCUCCUGAGUCACCUAAACUUGCAGUGGAUGUUGAGUGACAGAGAAGAAACUUGUGAGUUAAAAGCCACUAGGACUUGGUGGUUAUAUGAUUGCAUUGUAAUAGCCUACUCUGAUUAAUACGCAUGUACAUUUAUUUGGGGACUACAUAACUUACUUGCAGCAAAACAAUGUCUUAUAGUUGACUAAAACUUGGUAACUAAUCUCUGAAAAGCUUGAAGAUUCUGUUACAAAAACCAUUCUAGUUUUUAUUUACAGCCAUGCAAAAAAAGCUUUAAUGCCUGGAAAUCUAUAGCCAUCCUAAAAGUGAUUUUUAAAAUCAUCUUAGCCAUUUUGUAAGCCUAGUAGCUUUAAGUAUAUUUACAUUGUUGUACAAGUAAUCCCCAUACUUGUGCAUUUUGCAAAACUGAAACACUGUACCAAUCAAAUAACAACUCCUAUUUUCCCUACCCUGGAAACCACUAUUCUUUCUAUAAAUUUGCGUAUGUUACAUACGUUAUAUAAUAAAAGCUGUUUUCAUUUUUG
rnacentral:lncRNA from 1 species